rnacentral:rRNA from 1 species
UACGUAGGGUGCAAGCGUUAAUCGGAAUUACUGGGCGUAAAGCGUGCGCAGGCGGUGAUGUAAGACAGAUGUGAAAUCCCCGGGCUCAACCUGGGAACUGCAUUUGUGACUGCAUCGCUGGAGUACGGCAGAGGGGGGGAUGGAAUUCCGCGUGUAGCAGUGAAAUGCGUAGAUAUGCGGAGGAACACCGAUGGCGGAAGGCAAU